rnacentral:rRNA from 1 species
UACGCAGGGGGCUAGCGUUGUUCGGAGUUACUGGGCGUAAAGGGCGCGUAGGCGGCGCAUCAAGUCAGGCGUGAAAGCCCUGGGCUCAACCCGGGAAUUGCGCUUGAGACUGGUGUGCUCGAGUACGGGAGAGGAUAGUGGAAUUCCCAGUGUAGAGGUGAAAUUCGUAGAUAUUGGGAAGAACACCAGUGGCGAAGGCGGCUAUCUGGACCGUAACUGACGCUGAGGCGCGAAAGCGUGGGGAGCAAACAGG